rnacentral:rRNA from 1 species
UACAGAGGUCUCGAGCGUUAGGCGGAAUCACUGGGCUUAAAGCGUGUGUAGGCGGGUCGUUAAGUACCUUGUGAAAUCCCAUGGCUCAACCAUGGAACUGCUGGGUAUACUGGCGAUCUUGUUCAACCUAGGGGCGAGCGGAACAGAUGGUGGAGCGGUGAAAUGCGUAGAUAUCAUCUGGAACGCCAAUGGUGAAAACAGCUCGCUGGGGGUUUGCAGACGCUGAGACACGAAAGCCAGGGGAGCGAACGGG